GAGAGGUGGCUGAGUGGUCGAAAGCGCACGACUGGAACUCGUGUAUACGGCAACGUAUCGAGGGUUCGAAUCCCUCCCUCUCC
rnacentral:tRNA from 1 species